GGUAAUGUUUUGUUUUUGAGUGCAUGCAAGCAUGAUUCCGCCUUUAAUUGUUAAUUGCAUGCUUAUAGAUGUUGCUUAAACGAACAUGUUUUUCACAAAUCAUCCUUCACCAUCCUGGGGAUGCUCUCGGCCGAACUUGCUUAACUUCGGAGUUCCGUUGGAACCCAAAGCCAGUGAGCUCCCAAAAGGCCUCGUGCUAGGUAGAGAUGAGAAUAUACAUAUAAGGCUUACAUGAUUCAUUCCCUUGGGCGAUGUG
rnacentral:lncRNA from 1 species